CAUGGGGAUCGGCAUACCCCGGGAACUGGGGAUAAUUCCGGAUAGCGCAUAUUUGCUGGAAUGCUUUAUGCGUCAAAUGGAUUCGUCCGCCCAAGGAUGGGUCUGCGGCCUAUCAGGUAGUAGUGGGUGUAAUGUACCUACUAGCCGACAACGGGUACGGGUUGUGAGAGCAAGAGCCCGGAGAUGGAUUCUGAGACAUGAAUCCAGGCCCUACGGGGCGCAGCAGGCGCGAAAACUUUACAAUGCGGGAAACCGUGAUAAGGGGACACCGAGUGCCAGCAUCAUAUGCUGGCUGUCCAGGUGUGUAAAAUACACCUGUUAGCAAGGGCCGGGCAAGACCGGUGCCAGCCGCCGCGGUAACACCGGCGGCCCGAGUGGUGAUCGUGAUUAUUGGGUCUAAAGGGUCCGUAGCCGGUUUGGUCAGUCCUCCGGGAAAUCUGAUAGCUCAACUAUUAGGCUUUCGGGGGAUACUGCCAGACUUGGAACCGGGAGAGGUAAGAGGUACUACAGGGGUAGGAGUGAAAUCUUGUAAUCCCUGUGGGACCACCUGUGGCGAAGGCGUCUUACCAGAACGGGUUCGACGGUGAGGGACGAAAGCUGGGGGCACGAACCGGAUUAGAUACCCGGGUAGUCCCAGCCGUAAACGAUGCUCGCUAGGUGUCAGGCAUGGCGCGACCGUGUCUGGUGCCGCAGGGAAGCCGUGAAGCGAGCCACCUGGGAAGUACGGCUGCAAGGCUGAAACUUAAAGGAAUUGGCGGGGGAGCAC
rnacentral:rRNA from 1 species